rnacentral:sRNA from 1 species
AUUUUAAAAGUUUCAAUAUGUUGAUAGUGGCUGUCAUGAUGAAACAUUGUAGUUUUUAUAAACAGCAAGCAUGGCGGCUUAAUGUUUGCUGCACGUGUAUUACACGACGACAUGUUUCGUGUCGUUGGGGCUUAUCUUGGAAUUUUUUUCGUGAAAUAGUGUGAUACACUGAUUGUGGUGACGGGUUAUCAUGGUUAUAGUGAACUGUUAUUCAUCUUACUUAUGUGGUAUAAAAGUUAUUCGUCCCGUUUCAUUAUACAGUAUUUAUACAAAAAUCAAUAAUAUCAUGAAAUCAAUAUACUGUACAUGUAUCUAAAUAUACAAGUAGCUAUUUAAUAUGGAAUUGUAUGUCGUGUAUUAGGCCUAUAUAGUAAGCUGUAUGUACGAUUAAUGAAGAAACAGUGUAGG